rnacentral:rRNA from 1 species
AUUGAACGCUGGCGGCAGGCCUAACACAUGCAAGUCGAACGAGUGGCGGACGGGUGAGUAAUGUCUGGGAAACUGCCUGAUGGAGGGGGAUAACUACUGGAAACGGUAGCUAAUACCGCAUACUAUCAGAUGUGCCCAGAUGGGAUUAGCUUGUUGGUGGGGUAACGGCUCACCAAGGCGACGAUCCCUAGCUGGUCUGAGAGGAUGACCAUCCACACUGAAACUGAAACACGGUCCAGCCUCCUACGGAAGGCAGCAAUGGGGAAUAUUGCACAAUGGGGGCAAGCCUGAUGCAGCCAUGACGCGUGUAUGAAGAAGGCCUUCGGGUUGUAAGACACUUUCAGCGAGGAGGCGUUACUCGCAGAAGAAGCACCGGCUAACUCCGUGCCAGCAGCCGCGGUAAUUC